CGCGCAUUGUCCUCUGACUGAGAGAGGUAAAAAACGGGGCAGGGUAAAACAGACCCAGCAGCAGGCAGGCAGUGCUUUUAAAAGACCAGAGGAGACUAUAAAAGUGCUUUCAUGCCCGCUGCAGGAGAGACUGCUCGAUGUGCGCGCCGACAGACGGAGAUAGGCAGAGCAGAAGACAACACAACAAAUUAACGGGUUGUUUCACGUGUCGACACUCUGUCAGAGGUAGAGGAGUGGGAGUUUGUUUGACGGCGUUUUUUUUUAGUUCUCAGUAUAUCAAUGCGGGCUGUUUAACUAAGCAAGUACACUCAGACCUGAUUCUUGUACUUUAUUUAAAUAGGAUGUGCGUCUUAUCCAGCCGUCCCGGUACCGUUUGACAUAUUUACCCACACACCGAGCUGGAUUCACAAAUCGGUCUGUUUUCUAACCGGGGGAAGUCGGGCUCAUUCAAACUUUUCUGGCCGUACUUUUGAUGCCACGGAAAUGGGACCGCGCCAACCGGAGAGCGUGUCCUUGCUGUGCAGAAAAAGUUUGCUUUGGGCCGUGCUGAUCGUCUGGCUUAGCACGUUAGUGGACGGGACCUGGAAGACGGGACUCUACAAAACCUACUCAUCCGGGACGGCAGCUUCUCACACCUCAGUCUAUCAGAAGAGGAACUGGUGUCCUCAUACAGUCACUAAGACGGUGACCUGCCAGGUGCAGAAUGGGACAGUGCUCCAGAGGGUUUACCAGACAUGCCGCUGGCCACAGGGAUGCACAGGAGGCAGCUACAGGACUGUGGUCAGACCUUCAUACAGAGUGGUUUACCGCACUGUGACCUCUCUUGAGUGGAAAUGCUGUCCAGGAUUCAGCGGUACUGCCUGUGAGGAAGAGGGGGCAAACCUGCUUGUAGCACAAGAGGCAGUGAGGAAACCGUCCACGCUGCGACGCCAGCCUGCACGCACAGGAGAGUCCAUUUCUAAUUGUCUCAACUGCAGUCGAAUCACAGCUUUAAGCGAUAGACUGAACUCACUGGAGACAAAGGUCCAAUUACUCUCCGCCCCGGCUUCUGUGUCACAUCGCCACCUUCAGGGAAAAGGAGGAGCCGUAGCAGAGGCAUCAUUACUGAUGGGGGCUGUGCCCGCUCAGGGAGCUCCUGGUGAGCAGGGGCCUGCAGGUCCUCAGGGUGAGAAGGGGAGAGAUGGGCUUCCUGGCAGAGAGGGAAAGCCAGGAUCUCGAGGGAUGCCAGGUCCAAGUGGGCCUCGUGGGGAUGCUGGGUGGAAGGGUCCACCUGGAACUCCUGGAUCAAGGGGAUCCUCUGGACCUGCAGGUCCACGUGGUCCUCAAGGACUCCCAGGAGACAGGGGUCUACCAGGACCACCUGGCCCUCCAGGACCUCCAGCACCGGCCAGUGCCCACAUCCCAGAUCCUGACCAAAGCCGUGGAAAAGACCCGUUCUUUACCAACACUUUCCAUGACUCACGAGGGUCGCCUGUUCCAGGACCUCAGGGUCCUCCCGGGCCAACCGGUCCUCCAGGUCCCAGGGGCCCAGUAGGACCUCCUGGCCCAUCAGGACUGAAUGGGAAAUCUGGAGCUCCUGGAGCGCAGGGCCCUGUGGGGCCAAAGGGAGAACGAGGGGAGAGAGGUCCUUUGGGUUACCCAGGAGAGAGGGGCUUCAGAGGCGAGUCGGGAACACCGGGUCCAAAGGGAGAGCCAGGAGAGAAGGGUUUGCCGGACAUUAGCUUGCAGAUGUUCCACGACUUGCAGGCAGACCUUGAGCUUCUGGCUCGCAGGGUGACGCUGCUGGAGGCGAUCAUCUGGCCAGGUAACACUGAGACUUCCUCACCCACAGCUCUGAAGGCCCUCACUCACCUUUUUGACAAGAUCUAGAAAGUGUUGAUAGAGUUUGGGAAGUGUACAAAUUGUGACUCCCACUUGUCAAUGAACUGCUGAAUAAGGAUCUCCAAACUAGAUGUAGAUAAGAAAUGUGAAUUGUUUGGAUUGUGACACACUUAUAGUAUGAUGGCAGCACAAAUAUUACUUGAAUACUUAUUUACUCAUAACUGAUUAAUUCUGUGACACAUAUGUCUUUCAAGAACACUAUUUUGCCAAUUUUGGACAUUGUCAGUUGUUUCACAAGAUAUUUGUAGACAUGUGUUUUUCCUGCUCUUUUCUCACUCUUUUACAGUGGGUGGAGCCCAUUUUAAAAGAGUAAUUAUGUAAUUACUUAGCCAAUUACAAUUCUGCAACAAUUAAUACAACUUUUCUGUGAUGAUACCAUAAUUAGCAAUCAAAUAUCAAACAUUAAAUUCACACUGAAGCAGAUUAGCUAUUUUUUGUUCUUCCACCUUUUAGUCAAAAGGAUAGUUCAUUUCUUUAAAUGGGGUUGUAUAAGGUAUUUGUCACUAGUUACCUGCAGGAGGCGCCAGUCAGCCCUUUUAUUGAGAAACCAUCAGGAGUACUGGCCUGCAACCAAGGCAACAACCUGCUUUGGACAUUUCCAUUUAUACCACAUAAUUUAGCUAAUUCUAAGGAAGCCCAAACCAAAUACCAAUGUUGGUCUAAGUGUUUGCCAAAAAAAAUAUGCCAUGCCUUACUUUGCUGUCAAAAGCAACAAUGUUUGGCACUGUUUCAAGACACAGCACAUUCACACAUAUGUUCCCUCUGCCUGUAUAUAAAAGCUGUGUGUAGCCUAAGCUGACCAGCAUCACCCCUGGGUAAUACAAUAUUCAGAAGUACCUCAUACAUCCCUACUUCAAAAAAUUUGACUAUUCCUUUAACUGAUUGAAUAAAUAAUGAUUAAAACAUUUAAGCUUUAAUUUGUAAUUAGCCAUGAACAAAAGUUGAUGUAAAGUAUCCAAGUCCAGCUAGGAGAGCUGCAAGAAAAAUAAAUACCUUUUUGAUAAAUCAAAAAGACAGAGAAUAAAUUAACCACAAUUUUGGUCCACUUAAAUCAAAUUCAUUGUGAAGGAAAAAUGUGUAACAGUUGCUGGUUUUGGCAUCCCAAAAGUGAACAUUUGCACAUUCAAAUUGUUGAUCUUUGGGUUUUAAACUGACAGUAAAGUCCAUUAGAAGACAUUUUCUGUUGUUUUAAACAAUGUAAUAGACAAGACAAUUAUAAAUCCGCCAGAAAAAAGGCAUCUUAUUAGUUUAAGAUUGAAAUUAACUGUUGCAGCCCCUCUAGCCAUUUGCACCUCCUACUGUACGACAGAAUAGGGCAAAGAAAGGUUUGAUAAAUCGCCUUGACAUUCUCCCUUAUUAGUGAUUUAUUAAGUUUAUCCCAGAAACCAGGCACCUGCUGUCUAUCAUGAGGCCUCCGGGUUAGCAGCAACAUCAGAGCCUGAUCUAGGGUCUGGGGACGGACCGUUUGGCACAGCCUCCCCUAGUUUCUACAGAGAUAAGCGAGCAGGUGCGCUUCCAUAUCGACUUGC